rnacentral:rRNA from 1 species
CCUACGGGAGGCAGCAGUGGGGAAUUUUGCGCAAUGGGCGAAAGCCUGACGCAGCAACGCCGCGUGCGGGAUGAAGGCCCUCGGGUCGUAAACCGCUUUCAGCAGGGACGAACGUGACGGUACCUGCAGAAGAAGCCCCGGCUAACUACGUGCCAGCAGCCGCGGUAAUACGUAGGGGGCAAGCGUUAUCCGGAUUUAUUGGGCGUAAAGAGCGCGUAGGCGGUUUGUUAAGCGAGAUGUGAAAACCGGGGGCUCAACCCGCGGCCUGCAUCUCGAACUGGCAGACUUGAGUCUGGUAGAGGAAAGUGGAAUUCCUGGUGUAGCGGUGAAAUGCGCAGAUAUCAGGAGGAACACCAGUGGCGAAGGCGGCUUUCUGGGCCACGACUGACGCUGAGGCGCGAAAGCUAGGGGAGCAAACAGGAUUAGAUACCCCAGUAGUC